rnacentral:rRNA from 1 species
UACGUAGGGUGCAAGCGUUGUCCGGAAUUAUUGGGCGUAAAGAGCUCGUAGGCGGUCUGUCGCGUCGGCUGUGAAAUCCCGGAGCUCAACUCCGGGUCUGCAGUCGAUACGGGCAAACUGGAGUACUGCAGGGGAGACUGGAAUUCCUGGUGUAGCGGUGGAAUGCGCAGAUAUUAGGAGGAACACCGGUGGCGAAGGCGGGUCUCUGGGCAGUAACUGACGCUGAGGAGCGAAAGCGUGGGGAGCGAACAGG